rnacentral:tRNA from 1 species
CAUUAGAUGACUGAAAGCAAGUAAUGAUCUCUUAAAUCAAAUUAUAGUAAAUCUAGCAAUUUACUUCUAAUGA